rnacentral:antisense_RNA from 1 species
AGUUAUGGCGGCUGUGCGUGGGAACCCUUCGGGGUUGCCGGUUUCCUUUGGUGCCGGUCGGCCAACCUGCGUGCAGUCGCCUCCAUU